rnacentral:rRNA from 1 species
GGAUUAGAUACCCUGGUAGUCCACGCCGUAAACUAUGGAUGCUAGCUGUUAGAGGUAUCGACCCCUCUAGUAGCGAAGCUAACGCGUUAAGCAUCCCGCCUGUGGAGUACGGUCGCAAGACUAAAACAUAAAGGAAUUGACGGGGACCCGCACAAGCGGUGGAGCGUGUUGUUUAAUUCGAUGGUAAACGAAGAACCUUACCCAGGUUUGACAUCCUUGGAAUUUUUCCGAAAGGAAAGAGUGCUUUAUUGAGCCAAGUGACAGGUGUUGCAUGGCCGUCGUCAGCUCGUGUCGUGAGAUGUUUGGUUAAGUCCAUCAACGAGCGCAACCCUUUUGGUCUGUUGUAUUUCUCAGGCCAGACUGCCCUGGUAAC